AACAAUUUUUAAAAAUUGCCUUAAUAAUCAACUUCAGUACCAAAUCCACUAAGAGUUUUAUAAAAGAAUAAAAAGGGAAAAUAAGAGAGUAAGAACAAUGGAUGAGCUGUCCCACUGAAUUCAUUUCUGUGGUGAGGCAAACCUGAUUUCCUCUAUUUUCUAAAAUUAACAUGUUUCUGUAAGGAAGAAAGCAGAUUAUAAUGGAAGAAGAAAGCAUCCCCCUCUUAGCUCCACAAAGCCUUGGGUCCCCAUCUUGUACUGCCUAAAAAUCUAAGUGUCCCCCCCAGGAGGCUGUAAGCCCUAAAUGUGUCCCUCCCUGCUCCCUGCUAUAACAUUGGAAUGGACAGUAAAAUUCAGGAUUGUAUUUCCAGGAGAAAAUAGUUUUGUUUUGUUUUUUAUUUUGGUUCACCACUUUUUAACUUUAUCUGGUAGUCAGAGGAUGGGGAAAGUUGCCAAAAAGUUUGCAUAAAGGAUUUGGUUUUUCUGAGGUUUUACAGAUUUAAGAAAUGCAGAUAUUGAUGCAUUCUGAUAUGAUAAGACCACAAUCCUAUGUCAUAGACCUUUCUGAGCACCCUAAUAGCUAUAGUUAUGGGUUUUAUCCGUCUUAGUACUGCUAUCACUAUACACAGUGAGGAUGUGUGUGACUCACACCACUCAGAUCAGGGCUCCCCAAUUCCCUCAAGUAUAGUUUAGAGUUUCACACCUCCACCCUGUGGCUGUCCAGGGCCUCCACUGGGUUUAGGUGUUCCUAGAUCACUACAGGGUGAAGUUGAAUGGAGCAGGGCAGUCUGAUAGGGAUGGAACAGAGUCCACUGCAAUGAUGGGUUUUGCUCACUUGAGAAAUCACCAGGUGAAGGUUGAAGCAGCCAAGGUGCCAUCUAACCUGAGAGGUUCUCCUGGAGAAGGUGUGACAUUCAGCAGGUGAGACCUCUGCCCUCUGACAGCUUCUCACAGUGAUCCUGCCCAAUUCAACUGCAGGGGACGCCAUUCACGUGGACUACAGCCCUGGCACUGUGCAAUGUGUAGCCUACAUAGCUAAAUACAGUGACCCAGACCUGGCGAGGUACACAGGCUUCCAGAGCAGCAGGGUUCCCUUUACUCCCCACUUCUUGCCUUUUUGUAUCCAUAACUUGUACGAGGUCAACGCCCAAGGUUGGCAUUCCAGGUAUGUACCUCUUUGAGUCCCACCCCCCACCCGUCACUUUCCCUGCCCCUCAACUCAUCUCUGGGGUUGUUUGAAGGUUAAGUUCUUCCUGUCUUUAGGAAAUAUGAACCGGUUGUUGGAUGCUAAUGAUUCUGUCUCCCAUAGAGAUGGGCCAUGAAGGUUAAAGCACCAAAACAUAGAUCUGGUUAUAUACAGACAAACAUAUGAAUUAAUGAAGAUAACAUAGUAUUUGGUGUCUAGGGCUAAAGGACUAUAAGUAGGAACACCUGAAGGUAGGCACAGUGACUAACCCUUUUUAUAGGAAAGGAAAUUGGAAUGUAGAGAGUAGUGAUUUAGCCGAGAUCACCCAACUAAAAGUGUGGUUUGUGACCCUGUUAUGGUGGAAUUUUAUCCAACCUGACUAGUGAUUUCCAGUGAGGUAAGUUCACUGAAGUAUUAUAUAUAUAUAUAUAUAUAUAUAUAUAUAUAUAUAUAUAUGCACACAUCUUAAGUGCUUAGAUGAAUUUUUAAUGUGUAAACUACUUACUUCAAGAUUUAGAACAUUUCCAUUGCUUCAGAAUGUUCCCUCAUGCCACCUCUCAGGAGUUACUACUAUUCUGACGUCUGUCACCAUAAAUAAGUUCUGCCACUUCUGAAACUGUAUAUGGAUGGAAUGGCACAGUACAGACCUCAAGUGUCGUUUCUCGCUCUAGGUAAUGGGCGUGUGUGUGCUAACACAUGCUUGUGUACUCUGAGACAUGUUUGCCUUUCUUGGUGACACAUCGAGUACAAACCCAGAAAUAAUCAACAUGCACGGUGAAAUCGUGUGCUGACUCAUGGAUGUGCUAUAGAUUUCUAAUGGCUACAUUUGGGUUAAUGAGACUGAAGAGGUCAUAUGUUCUCACUGGUGCAGCUACAGGAUGAUGAUGCCUUCUGAAGCCUGGGUUCCCAAGUCAGCAGAGCUUCUCCAACCUCCACUGGAUAUGUAAGAGAAAUCACAAGUAGACGGAGAGGCAGCCAGAGAG